rnacentral:lncRNA from 1 species
GCUGCUACGAUUAAUGGCAUAAGGUUGUAAACCAAAAGUGAAAAUGAAAUGUCCUUGGAUGGAUAAUAUGGAAAUCUCGGACAUCUGGAUCAUUUAGAAGAUGAAGUAGUUGAAUGAUUUGCAGAUAGUUGCUAAUUGAAAUGUUACUGGUGAUGAUCAUGCAUGUCAUAUGGUCAGCCAAAUAUAUAAGAGAUCGACGAUGAUCGAUCUAGCUUGCAGAC